GGCUUUGUAGCUCAGUGGCAAGAGCACUGGUCUUGUAAACCAGGGGUUGCGAGUUCGAUCCUCGCCAGAGCCU